rnacentral:misc_RNA from 1 species
UUGCUAACUCCCUGACAGAAUUCUCAAUCAUGAGCACAGGCUUGCCAUAUGAUUCUGCAAUUGGAUAUGUAUCAGCCUCCCAACUAACAAAUUUCUGCAUCCCAGCUUCCUUCUUAGCUUGAAUGCUAUCAACCCAUUUUGUAUCUGGUUCUUCAAAUGAAACCAAUUUUUGUCUGAAACUUCUAUAACAACCUUUUUGGAAGGUUGCCUGCUUAUAUGGACAACAUUACCCAUCUUUCGUGAACCAACUCCUUGUCCACCCUGCACCUGAGCCUGCCCAAUCCUGGUUGUAGUGGGGCUUGCUAUCCAUUUCUGGGCAUCAUCCCAUUUGGAUGGCAAUGGCUUUGUAAAUGGUGCAAUGGAAACUCUUUGUGGGGCACGCUCUGCCUUCUGAAACUCAAAUGCUGUGGAUGACACACUUGUAGUAUCUUGUCCACUGUCAUAAUCUAAAGAUGAAUCUUCAUGGGACCUAAUCCUUGAAUUGGCCAACGAGUGAUCUUUAGAUCUAUGAUCAGCAACCAUCUGUGCACUCAUGGAGUCAGCUAUGGUUGAAGUGGAGGAUUUGGGAAGUACACUAACAACAUCUACAUCUUUGCAAUUAUCAGAACUG